UACGUAGGGUGCGAGCGUUAAUCGGAAUUACUGGGCGUAAAGCGUGCGCAGGCGGUUCUCCAAGUCCGUUGUGAAAUCCCCGGGCUCAACCUGGGAACUGCAUUUGUGACUGCAUGGCUAGAGUGCGGCAGAGGGGGAUGGAAUUCCGCGUGUAGCAGUGAAAUGCGUAGAUAUGCGGAGGAACACCGAUGGCGAAGGCAAUCCCCUGGGCCUGCACUGACGCUCAUGCACGAAAGCGUGGGGAGCAAACAGG
rnacentral:rRNA from 1 species